AUUGAACGCUGGCGGCAGGCCUAACACAUGCAAGUCGAGCGGAUGAAGGGAGCUUGCUCCUGGAUUCAGCGGCGGACGGGUGAGUAAUGCCUAGGAAUCUGCCUGGUAGUGGGGGAUAACGUCCGGAAACGGGCGCUAAUACCGCAUACGUCCUGAGGGAGAAAGUGGGGGAUCUUCGGACCUCACGCUAUCAGAUGAGCCUAGGUCGGAUUAGCUAGUUGGUGGGGUAAAGGCCUACCAAGGCGACGAUCCGUAACUGGUCUGAGAGGAUGAUCAGUCACACUGGAACUGAGACACGGUCCAGACUCCUACGGGAGGCAGCAGUGGGGAGUAUUGGACAAAGGGCGAAAGCCUGAUCCAGCCAUGCCGCGUGUGUGAAGAAGGUCUUCGGAUUGUAAAGCACUUUAAGUUGGGAGGAAGGGCAGUAAGUUAAUACCUUGCUGUUUUGACGUUACCAACAGAAUAAGCACCGGCUAACUUCGUG
rnacentral:rRNA from 1 species